rnacentral:rRNA from 1 species
UACGUAGGGUGCAAGCGUUAAUCGGAAUUACUGGGCGUAAAGCGUGCGCAGGCGGUUGGGCAAGUCAGAUGUGAAAUCCCCGGGCUUAACCUGGGAACUGCAUUUGUGACUGCACGGCUAGAGUGCGGCAGAGGGGGAUGGAAUUCCGCGUGUAGCAGUGAAAUGCGUAGAUAUGCGGAGGAACACCGAUGGCGAAGGCAAUCCCCUGGGCCUGCACUGACGCUCAUGCACGAAAGCGUGGGGAGCAAACAGG